rnacentral:lncRNA from 1 species
AAAAGGCGUCCACACGGAGGAGCAGGCAAGGUGCCGUGGGUGUCCAGAGGCCUGGUUUCUGAUGAGAGGGUCCAGAGGGCAUCACAGGAGGUGACAGGUGAGAUGGACCUCCAGGGACUUGAAGGUUUGGAGAGGCAGAAGCAGGUGACUGGCCCCUGGGUGAAAAGGAAGUGCACCUAAGAAGUGCACAGGGGGCUCUUGAGCACUGCAAUUGAGGCUGAGCUGUGGAUCAGGAACCUGGAAGGAAGACACCUGGUGACAGCCCAGCUUCGUUCCAUCUCUGGGAGGACGGAACGCCUCCCAAGGACGCGCACGCCAUCUGCAGGUCGCCUCCAGAACUGCAGGCACAACGAUCAAACCUGAGCUGUCCGCAUAGAAGACCCCCAACCCCACCUCCCCUGCACACCAGAUAUUGGGCAAACAAACACGAAUCAGAGCCACCUCCAACCAGCAAGAGGGAAUGAAAAACUCCUCAGAGGCUAGAGGCGCAGAAGAUAGAAGCAGCCUAAGGGCUCCGAAGGGGAACGCUGUCAUGAAAAUACAUGACGGAUCCCGAUACUACGUGCCAGGUGCUGCUUGUAACCUCAUUGCAGACUUGGGAGAAAGGUAUCACGAUUACCACGUGACAGGUGAGAAGGUUAGAGGAGCUAGAAGAGAUGGGAAUGAGAUUUAAACUCAUGAGCG